rnacentral:rRNA from 1 species
GGGGGGGGGGGGGGGGGGGGCGGGGGGGGGCGGGGCGGGCGGGCGGGGGGGGGGGCUGGCGCCCGCUGACGUUAGCGGCGGACGGGGGCGUGAGACGGGGGGCACCUACCUAUACGGCUGGGAUAGCUUCGGGACACCGGGUCUCAUCCCGGCUAAUCUGUAGCUUCGCAGGCCGCACUAGUGACAGCCGGUUCUGCUGUCCCUCCUAGAUGGACCCGCGGUGUAUGAGCUAGGUGGUGAGGUCCCGGCUCCCCAAGGCAACGAUACAUAGCCGACCUGAGAGGGUGAUCGGCCACACUGGGACUGAGACACGGCCCAGACUCCUACGGGAGGCAGCAGUAGGGAAUCGUCCGCAAUGGACGAAAGUCUGACGGAGCAAUGCCGCGUGAGUGAAGAAGGUUUUCGGAUCGUAAAACUCUGUUGUAAGGGAAGAACAAGUACGUUAGUAACUGAACGUACCUUGACGGUACCUUACCAGAAAGCCACGGCUAACUACGUG